CAGCCGCCGCGGGAAUACGAAGGGUGCAAGCGUUACUCGGAAUUACUGGGCGUAAAGCGUGCGCAGGCGGUUGUGUAAGACAGGUGUGAAAUCCCCGGGCUUAACCUGGGAACUGCGCUUGUGACUGCACAGCUAGAGUAUGGCAGAGGGGGGUGGAAUUCCACGUGUAGCAGUGAAAUGCGUAGAGAUGUGGAGGAACACCGAUGGCGAAGGCAGCCCCCUGGGCCAAUACUGACGCUCAUGCACGAAAGCGUGGGGAGCAAACAGGAUUAGAUACCCCUGUAGUCCCUGUCUCUUAUAC
rnacentral:rRNA from 1 species